AUUGAACGCUGGCGGCAGGCUUAACGCAUGCAAGUCGAGCGGGGUGAUGGUGCUUGCACUAUCACUUAGCGGCGGACGGGUGAGUAAUGCUUAGGAAUCUGCCUAUUAGUGGGGGACAACAUCUCGAAAGGGAUGCUAAUACCGCAUACGUCCUACGGGAGAAAGCAGGGGAUCACUUGUGACCUUGCGCUAAUAGAUGAGCUUAAGUCGGAUUAGCUAGUUGGUGGGGUAAAGGCCUACCAAGGCGACGAUCUGUAGCGGGUCUGAGAGGAUGAUCCGCCACACUGGGACUGAGACACGGCCCAGACUCCUACGGGAGGCAGCAGUGGGGAAUAUUGGACAAUGGGGGGAACCCUGAUCCAGCCAUGCCGCGUGUGUGAAGAAGGCCUUAUGGUUGUAAAGCACUUUAAGCGAGGAGGAGGCUCUUUUGGUUAAUACCCAAGAUGAGUGGACGUUACUCGCAGAAUAAGCACCGGCUAACUCUGUGCCAGCAGCCGCCGUAA
rnacentral:rRNA from 1 species